rnacentral:lncRNA from 1 species
CCCACGACCACAUUUCCCCGAAAAUAACACCGGGUCUUACAUUCAUGUUUCCUCCAAAAGACGUGAUAGGGCCUGUUUUCAGGGGACGCCCUAUACUUUCACGUACAACAAUUUGCAGUUAUUUAUGUUCAAACAGCUACAUUUGUUCAUUUCUUCACGUACAAAAGAAUACAUUUAUUCAAGUAUGGUUCUGCAUCUUCCUCAGGAAUACCGUCACGACUCUCCAAGCCCUUUACUCGGCCUGAAUUGCUUGCGACUCCAUUUCCCCCAGAACCAUUGGCCUCAGCCUCUCAGGCCUAGCAACAGAGCUCUCCUUAAAUGAGUGCUUCUCGCGCAUGCAGCCUGCUAUUCCUGUCAGACCACACAGCCGCGUCCAUUCAUUCUCCAGUGCCACCUUCUCCCUGCGUCCUAGCUCUGAUUCGGCAGUCACCCUAUUAUUUAAGAAGUGAUGCUCACCAUGGAGCCACAGCGCAGCCCACUCUGGCUGUCUUCAGGUACAACUGCUCUGGACUACAAACUUACUCUUAUGAAGCUGGGUGUGGUGGUACAUGCCUGGAGGCCGAGGCAGGAGGAUCGUUGGAAGUUGGAGGCCAGCCUGGGCUAUAUAAAAAAUGAAAAAAAAUGAGAGAAAUUUAAACUUAUGUAUUUAUCACAUUACGUUUUUAGUCUGUUUUUCUAAGGUGGUUAUUCUGUCUGGGAUGCCAGAGAAAGCCGAAAAGCGAAGGGACUCACACCCUCUGGGCUCAUAGGGCAAGGAGGCUCUGAGCCUCGCACCCCUCCUGGAGUCAGCC